rnacentral:rRNA from 1 species
CAGCAGCCGCGGGAAUACGUAGGUGGCAAGCGUUGUCCGGAAUUAUUGGGCGUAAAGGGCUCGCAGGCGGUUUCUUAAGUCUGAUGUGAAAGCCCCCGGCUCAACCGGGGAGGGUCAUUGGAAACUGGGAAACUUGAGUGCAGAAGAGGAGAGUGGAAUUCCACGUGUAGCGGUGAAAUGCGUAGAGAUGUGGAGGAACACCAGUGGCGAAGGCGACUCUCUGGUCUGUAACUGACGCUGAGGAGCGAAAGCGUGGGGAGCGAACAGGAUUAGAUACCCCCGUAGUCCAUGUCUCUUAUAC